ACAACUUACCGACUCUGCCAAAGCAACUUUCCCGGCAACUGUGCAUUAGGAGAAAGAUGCACUUGGUAUUCCAGAGCAGCAAGUAGAUGUGGAAUGGUGUAAGGAUGAUCCAGUGCCAAGAUGACCACAUUGCAGCCCGUGAAGGUAGAGGAUGCCUGUGCAAGAACGUGGCUAGUCAUCUUGUUUCUUCAUUGGAUGUUGAGAUUCAAACCAAAGAUGUGUGAAUGCUAAGCUAAGGAUACAACAGUCGCCUAAUAGAGAUUAAGAACUAAGCCUGUGGGAUGGCGCUGCCUACAAUCUGAGUGGAUCUUUCCUCUUCAGUUGAAUUUCUUGGAAACAGCUUAAUAGACAAAAACUUGUGUUUUCACAAUGAUCCUGAAUCUAGUCAAGUUGAAAAUGCUAAGCAUGGAACACACUGAGUGAGUUUUAAAACGGUGACUCUUUUGAGAUAACAG